rnacentral:lncRNA from 1 species
UCUCCCUCUCUCAAGAACGCCUCUCUCUCUCCUCUCUCUCUCUCUCGCUCUCGCUCUCUCUCUCUUCCUUUUCCAGUUCCAAGAGAUCUCUCUCCCCCUUUUCCAGGAGCAAGAGACUUCUCACAGUGGUGCUCUCUCUCUCUCUCAAGAUCCCUCUUUUUCAUUCCAACUAAACAAGGAAAUACAAAGUCUCAAUACUUAUAGGGAUAAACGGGUAUUCAAUCUUAACUGUCAUUUUUCUUUCCAAUCUUCGGUAUAAUUUCGCUUUUUAUCUAACACUGUUUUGGUGCUCUAAUUGUUUCUCUCUGUAGAUUUCAGGGGUUUUGUCCAUUGAUUUUCAUGGGGUCUUUCUUUACUAUAAUUUUGCUCUCUUUCUUGAUUAUGAUCUAGAGAGAAAAACUAGAUUUGUUCGGAUAUGAUCUAGAGAGAAAAACCAAAUAUGAUCUAGAGAAAAAAACCAGAUUUUUAUUGUCUCUUUCUUGACUAUGAUUUUGCUCUCUUAUGCAGUUUGGCUCUCUAACUAUUUCACUCUCUUGACUAUGAUUUUACUUUUUUGAUUCAUUAAAUGCAAAGAGAGAUUCUGAACUCAUUAGAAACAUGGGGUAGAUGAGUGAAAAAGGGUGGUCCCAAAACCCACAGAAUCAAGAAAUAGGGGGUCUAAGAAAAUAUUCACUCUGUCUCUCUCUCUAGAACUCUUCCCUGCUCUCUUUUUCUAUCGCUCAAUAUCCUCUCACACACACCCAAGGUAGGUGGAAAUAUCAAUCAAAGGGUCAUAUGAAUGACAUCUUAAAUUUGGGCAGCAAGAGAGGGAUCAAACCACAUCCAUUUUUAGUUAAGAUGAGAUUGCAGCCUUUCUCUAAGAAGAGUAGAACUCAUGGAAAGCCUUCAAGAUUAUCAUGAAUGUGGAAUACAUAGUUCUUCAAAGGGAUUCAUAAUUUGUAUGAAGUGCACUAAUUGUUUGAUUUAUUGUCUUCAAUGUCAUUCUCAUAAAUGAUCUAAUCUAGUUGCUUGGUUAAUUUCAAAUCAAAUUCAUGAUUUUGUUGGAGUAGAAUAUGCAUCAAAUUUUCAAGAGUGAUUGACCUAAAUUUUGAAAUUUGUUAUUGUUCUUUGGGCUGCAGGGUAGAGUUGACAAUAGCUAGCUAGCCCUUUUGAAGUUGGAAGUACCCUUGCACGAAUGACAGCCCUGACUCAUAUGUUAAUCGUUCCUUAAUCCAAUCAAGGCUGCUGCCCAGCUUCCAUGCUGGCCUUUCAUAUAUCAUAUAUGGGGUAAAAGCUAUAUAUAUCAAAACAGUCCCCAUCAUGUUGCUUGAUGUCGAACUUUGUGUUUUUUCUUUGGUUGCCUUUAGUCCAUUGUUAUGCUGUGAAAAUGAAUAAAGUGAGCUAUGUUUACUUCAAUCUGUGUGACUUCGAUGUUGUUCGCAUUAUGAAUACUAAGUACGAUUAUUA